CNNUGNNGGGCUAUACAUGCAAGUCGAGCGAGCGGUUUUACCGGAAGGCCUUCGGGCCGGAAGAUAGAAGCGCGAGCGGCGGAUGGGUGAGUAACACGUGGGCAACCUGCCCUCUAGCUUGGGAUACCACUUGGAAACAGGUGCUAAUACCAAAUAAGAAGUAAGAGCGCAUGCUCAAGCUGUAAAAGGCGGCUUUCGAGCUGUCACUAGAGGAUGGGCCCGCGGUGCAUUAGCUAGUUGGUAAGGUAACGGCUUACCAAGGCGAUGAUGCAUAGCCGAGUUGAGAGACUGACCGGCCACAUUGGGACUGAGACACGGCCCAAACUCCUACGGGAGGCAGCAGUAGGGAAUCUUCCACAAUGGACGCAAGUCUGAUGGAGCAACGCCGCGUGAGUGAAGAAGGUUUUCGGAUCGUAAAGCUCUGUUGUUGGUGAAGAAGGAUGUGGAUAGCAACUGAUUCAUAUUUGACGGUAAUCAACCAGAAAGUCACGGCUAACUACGUGCCAGCAGCCGCGGUAAUACGUAGGUGGCAAGCGUUGUCCGGAUUUAUUGGGCGUAAAGCGAACGCAGGCGGGAGAACAAGUCAGCUGUGAAAGCCCUCGGCUUAACCGGGGAAUGUCAACUGAAACUGUUUUUCUUGAGUGCAGAAGAGGAGAGUGGAACUCCAUGUGUAGCGGUGGAAUGCGUAGAUAUAUGGAAGAACACCAGUGGCGAAGGCGGCUCUCUGGUCUGUAACUGACGCUGAGGUUCGAAAGCAUGGGUAGCGAACAGGAUUAGAUACCCUGGUAGUCCAUGCCGUAAACGAUGAGUGCUAAGUGUUGGGAGGUUUCCGCCUCUCAGUGCUGCAGCUAACGCAUUAAGCACUCCGCCUGGGGAGUACGACCGCAAGGUUAAAACUCAAAGGAAUUGACGGGGGCCCGCACAAGCGGUGGAGCAUGUGGUUUAAUUCGAAGCAACGCGAAAAACCCUUACCAGGUUUUUGACAUCUAGUGAAAAGCCCUAAAGAUAGGUAAUACCCUUUCGGGGACCCUAAGAACAGGGGGGUGCAUGGCUUUUCGUCAGCCUCGGUGUCGGUGGAGAAUUGUUUGGGNUUAAGNCCCGNCAANCGCAGGCGCCAACCCUCUUNNAUUUUAUUUUUAGUUNGGNCC
rnacentral:rRNA from 1 species